AGAGCGAACGCUGGCGGCAGGCCUAACACAUGCAAGUCGAGCGCCCGUAGCAAUACGGGAGCGGCAGACGGGAUAGUAACACGUGGGAACGCGCCCUUCGGUUCGGAAUAACUCAGGGAAACUUGAGCUAAUACCGGAUACGCCCUUACGGGGAAAGAUUUAUUGCCGAAGGAACUGCCCGCGUCCGAUUAGCUAGUUGGUGAGGUAACGGCUCACCAAGGCUUCGAUCAGUAGCUGGUUUGAGAGAACGACCAGCCACAUUGGGACUGAGACACGGCCCAAACUCCUACGGGAGGCAGCAGUGGGGAAUCUUGGACAAUGGGGGAAACCCUGAUCCAGCGAUGCCGCGUGAGUGAUGAAGGCCUUCGGGUUGUAAAACUCUUUCGACGGGGACGAUAAUGACGGUACCGUAGAAGAAGCUCCGGCUAACUUCGUGCCAGCAGCCGC
rnacentral:rRNA from 1 species